rnacentral:piRNA from 1 species
UACCACAAUUUAGAAACUAUGGCUGAGCAGC